GUUUUUUUGUUUAUAAUUUAAAGUUUAAUUUGCCCCCUGAUUUAUUAAAGGGCUGCAGUAAAUUGACUGUACAAAGGUAGCAUAAUCAUUAGUCUUUUAAUUGAAGACUUGUAUGAAAGAUUUGAUGAAAUAUAAACUGUCUCUUAUUUAUAUUUAGAAUUUAAUUUUUUAGUAAAAAAGCUAAAAUAAUUUUAAAAGACGAGAAGACCCUAUAGAGUUUUAUAAUUUAACUAAUUAUAGUUUUAUUGGAUUUAUUAAAUAAAAAUUAUUUUAAUUAUUUUAUUGGGGUGAUAAAAAAAUUAAAUUAACUUUUUUUUUAAAAAUACAUUGAUUUAUGAUAUUAUGAUCCAUAAUUUAUGAUUAUAAGAAAAAAUUACCUUAGGGAUAACAGCGUAAUUUUUUUUUUUAGUACAAAUAAAAAAAAAAGUUUGCGACCUCGAUGUUGGAUUAAGAUAAAAUUUAAAUGAAGAAGUUWAAAAUUUUGAUCUGUUCGAUCAUUAAAAUCUUACA
rnacentral:rRNA from 1 species